AAAUUUAUUCCUAAUAGGGAAAGGCAAAGGACUAUACUCCAUAAAGCCGAGUUUGAAUUUGUAAGUUUCGUUCCGAUAUAACAAAAGGCUGGAGCCAAGUCUGAAGUAAAAUAUCCGACACUUUUUCAGUUUUAGUUUUCCUAUUGGAAAUUAUAGUGAGACUAUUUGAAAUUUCGAACACAUAUUUUUGUUUAUGAUUUUAUAUCUAUUGUAAAUUUAUCUAUUAUCUGCAUUUAUUUUGGCCGUGUCACUGUCGCCGUGUCGCCUACUUACACGUUGUCAAUUUAUCAUUAUUUUUACCUAUAACAUCAGAAUUUAUAUCUGUUUUCAAUAAAUUUAUAGGUAGUUUUUUAAAGUAAAACAAACAUGUCGUCCCCCGACGAAAGUUCUCAACUCAAAGCAGGUCAUCCUCCUGCAGUGAAAGCUGGUGGUAUGAGAAUCACCCAACAUAAAGUUCCCCACUCUAAAGACGAACGUAAGGAACAACCGAAUGAAGACUUAACAGGACUUGCCGGCCCUAAUCCAGUACCAACUAACCCAGUUUCAAUUGUCGGAGCUCCUAACAGAGUUUCAACUAUACCUAUGUAUGGUCAAAAUGUUUAGCAAUUGGGACCAUGUUAAUCAUGUUUUAUAAUUUUUAAUUUCAUUUAUUAGUUUGAAAUAAAAUUGUGAUUUUUUUUUGGUUUUUUAUUUUUUAUAUUAAUUUAUCAUUACUCAUUUACGUCCAUAGUUAAUGAAAUAAUUUUUAACACAUUGUCGUCAAGCAAUGAUUUGACGACAAGUUGGCGCAACCCUAUGCAGCACUACCUGAUGCGCUGAUAGCUGCGGGUUCAGUCUUCGCUCAUAAAAAUAUGUAUUUGCUGUUUGACGUUUGUGCUUUGUUUGUGUUAUGUGCCCAAACCAAACCCUUGACACGAUUGACAUCCUUCUUAAUAAAUAAGUACCACCAAAAGUGUGCAAAUUCUUAAAAAUUAUAUUAUAUUAGUUUUAAUGUGAAUAAUUGAAUGUAAAUUAAAAUGAAAUGUCGAUAAUAUAUAAAAAGUAAAUUGCAAAC
rnacentral:misc_RNA from 1 species